rnacentral:rRNA from 1 species
AUCUUCGCAAUGGAUCGAAGUCUGACGAGCAUGCCCGUGAGUGAUGAGGCCUCGUUCGUAAAACUCUGUGUAAGGAGGACCAGUGCUAGUGAUUAGCUGCACUGACGUACCUACCAGAAAGCCACGCUACUACGUGCAGCAGCCGCGUAAUACGUAGGUGCAAGCGUUAUCCGGAAUUAUUGGGCGUAAAGCGCGCGCAGGUGGUUUCUUAAGUCUGAUGUGAAAGCCCACGGCUCAACGGUGGAGGGGUCAUGGGAACUGGGAGACUUGAGUGCAGAAGAGGAAAGUGGAAUUCCAUGUGAAGCGGUGAAAUGCGUAGAGAUAGGGAGGAACACCAGUGGGGAAGGCGACUUUCUGUUCUGUAACUGCCAUUGAGGCGGGAAAGCGUGGGGAGCAACCAGGAUUAGAUACCCUGGUAGUCCACCCGGUAAACGAUGAGUGUUAAGUGUUAGAGGGUUUCCGCCCUUUAGUGCUGAAGUUAACCCAUUAACCACUCCCCCUGGGGAGUCCGCCCCCAAGGCUGAAAUUCAAAGGAAUUGACGGGGGCCCCCCCAAGCGGUGGACCAUGUGGUUUAAUUGGAAGCAACGCGAAGACCCUUACCAGUUCUUGCCAUCUUCUGCCACCCCUAGAGAUAGGGCUUUUCCUUCGGGAGCAGAGUGCCAGGUGGUGCAUGGUGGUCGUCAGUUCGUGUCGUGAGAUGUUGGGUUAAGUCCCGCAACGAGCGCAACCCUUGUUUUUAGUUCCCAUCAUUAAGUUGGCCAUUUUAAGGUGACUGCCGGUGCCAACCCGGAGGAAGGUGGGGAUGACGUCAAAUCAUCAUCCCCCUUAUGCCCUGGGUUCCCCACGUGUUCCAAUGGCCGGUCCAAAGAGCUGCAAGCCCGGGAGGUGGAGUUAUUUUCAUAAACCCGUUUUCAGUUCGGAUUGUAGGCUGCAAUUCCCCUCCAUGAAGCGGGAAUCGUUGGUAAUCGCGGAUCACCAUGCCGCGGUGAAUACGUUCCCGGCCCUUGUCCCCCCCCCCCGUCCCCCCACGAGAGUUUGUACCCCCCGAAGUCGGUGGGGUACCCUUUGGAGCCAGCCGCUAUAGGG